UGAGUCAACCGAUGGAUGCGUUCUAC
rnacentral:piRNA from 1 species